ACAGAUGUAGCAGAGCCGAAUGUGUUCGCCUGCCAGAAUUUAUUCAAAAGUUAAGCCAAAACCUGCUGGUAACCAAGCUAAAGUUGGAAGAUUGUUUCUCUGAUACAAGUUUAUUCAAGUAAAUCUGCUGUUCAACGUUAUACCAAGUCUGGACUCAUUUCUU